rnacentral:rRNA from 1 species
AACGAACGCUGGCGGCAGGCCUAACACAUGCAAGUCGAACGGUGCCUUCGGGCAUAGUGGCGCACGGGUGAGUAACACGUGGGAAUGUACCUCAAGGUAGGGAAUAAUAUCUGGAAACGGAUACUAAUACCCUAUAAUAUCUUCGGAUCAAAGAUUUAUCGCCUUGAGAUCAGCCCGCGCUUGAUUAGAUAGUUGGUGGGGUAAUGGCCUACCAAGUCUACGAUCAAUAGGGGGUCUGAGAGGAUGAUCCCCCACACUGGGACUGAGACACGGCCCAGACUCCUACGGGAGGCAGCAGUGAGGAAUAUUGGACAAUGGAGGAAACUCUGAUCCAGCCAUGCCGCGUGAGUGAAGAAGGCCUUAGGGUUGUAAAGCUCUUUCAAUAGUGAAGAUAAUGACGGUAACUAUAGAAGAAGCUCCGGCUAAAUUCGUG